UAGGGAAUCUCCCACAAUGGACGCAAGUCUGAUGGAGCAACGCCGCGUGAGUGAAGAAGGGUUUCGGCUCGUAAAGCUCUGUUGUUAAAGAAGAACGUGGGUAAGAGUAACUGUUUACCCAGUGACGGUAUUUAACCAGAAAGCCACGGCUAACUACGUGCCAG
rnacentral:rRNA from 1 species